UACGUAGGGUGCGAGCGUUGCCCGGAUUUAUUGGGCGUAAAGGGCGCGCAGGCGGCUCGGCACGUCCGUUGUGAAAUCGCCCGGCUCAACUGGGCGGGGUCAGCGGAUACGGUCGAGCUUGAGCAAGCUAGGGGGUAAUGGAAUUCCCGGUGUAGUGGUGGAAUGCGUAGAUAUCGGGAGGAACACCUGUGGCGAAGGCGGCCACCUGGGCCGACCCUGACGCUGAGGCGCGAAGGCGUGGGGAGCGAACGGG
rnacentral:rRNA from 1 species